GUGUUCGCUUUGGCAGCACAUAUAAUAAAAUUGGAGUGAUACGGAGAAGAUUAGCAUGGUCCGUGCACAAGGAUGACAUGCAAAUUCAUGAAGCAUUCCAUCUUCAU
ensembl:snRNA RNU6-689P RNA, U6 small nuclear 689, pseudogene